UUGUGGUAAACAGAAUAAAAUUUUUGUAUCAAUACACAGUAGAUUUACAACAAUAAGGAAAAAUAAAUUUAUGUGAUUAAAAUUUAAAGGUUAUAUAUAUUUCUAAAAAUGAUUUAUAUGAAUAUUUUAAAUUUAUUGUGACCGUUGUUAUAAAUAUCAACAUGAUUUUAACUUUAGAUUUGGAGAAAACGUUAACACAGACUAUUAUAAUUAUAUUCAGUGUUGCUUUCAUUUGUGUCACUUGUUGGGUAAAGAUGAAAAUUGAAGGAAGAUUCAGGGAAAAUGCCAGAAAACUUAAAAAUACAAAAACAAAGCUAGCCAAAGUAAAAAAUGAGGAAAUCCACCUCUGCAAAAAGGCUCUUCUUGUAACCAGCAACCGCCACCAUCGAAGCAUCGUCGCUGCAUCCUUCCUUCAGACUUGUGAGGAAGAACUUGAGAAGCUUCAACAAAUAACGGACACCAUCAAACGUGUUCAGUUGCCUACUUUCUUGCAAGACUUGCAGUGUUUGAGUUCACAAAAUUUCUUGCCAAAAGUCGAUAUUCCAGUCUCUGUGCCAUCAAGAAACCAUGUAGAGGACUUAGAAAAGAAACUGGAAAGUAAAGGAGAGUUGAAACCAGUGCAGUUCAAGCUGUUACAGACAAGAACGUGCCAGGCAUGUACAGGUGGAGAACAAAUUAAUUGUGACAGAAAUAAAAAAACAAGAACACAGUGUAAUACUACUUCAGUGAAUAUAGAAAUAGACAGACCACUCAAACAACACAAUUGUUCAGAUUGCAAAGCAUGCUCUUCUAUUGUAUCUACUACCAAUGCUGCUUAUUGUAAUGUGUACGUUGAGAAAAAGAAAAAAGGAACAUAUGUCAAUAAGGAUUUAAGUGUGGUGAGAAAACAAUUUAGCACAAUAAUGUUUCCAACCAAUCCUUUUGUGAAGACUUCAUCUUUAGAGAGAAAUUAUCAUAAAGGUAUUCACGUAUCCCUAAAACCUCCUCCUUACAAUAUAAACAAAUCCAAACCUUGGAGCAAAAUUAACUAUAAUUUGGAACAAGAAAAUCAAGACAGAAAGUUACAAACUAAGAAUAGAACCCGACACAACUAUCUACAAACAAAUUUUGAACAUGAAGACAAAAAAUGUAAUGUUGAAAAAGUUUCAUCUGGUAAUACAAAUUUAAAAAAUAAUAAGACUGUAUGUGAUAAAAAUUGUGAAUAUAAAAUAAUUGUUAAAGAAUUGUUCAAAAGUAGUGACAAUAACACUUCAACUAAAAUAGUAAUAAAAAACAAAAGGACCAAUACUGUGCACAUUGAAGAUGAAUUUAGUAAAGUAAUUAAAACUUUGGUACCCAAAGCUCAUUGUUUGUAUUUGUUUCAUGACAAAAAUUCACAAAAUCUAAAAAGCCAUGUUUUUAAAGUUCCUAUCAAAAUUAACAAAAAGAACAUAAUUUUAAAGUUUGUUAUUUGUUUGUCUGUGAAGUAUAAACAGAAAAAUGCUCAGUCAAUUUCAAGAAGAAGAGCAAGAAAUCUGCAUAGCUGUAUGACUCAAAUGAAACAAAAAUACAAGGCAAUUACCAAGAAUGUAACCAACACAAUUAUUCCAGUAGAACCUAAUGCCUGUACUACACAGCUGAAGAGCCACAGUUUAUAUACAAACUCUAGUAUUUGCUCAACAAAUUUAUUAAAAAAUAGAACUGUUCAUGAGUCAAGCGAGUAUACACCACUUGCUCAUGGAGACAACCAAUUGUCAAGUAUGGAUUCAGCUUUCAAUUACGUAAACCAGCUGUACCUAGGUUACAAAAGACUGCCAGGUUAUUUUUCAGAACAUGAGAUUAAAAAUAUUAUUGAAAAAGUAACAUUGAAGGAACAUACUGGCCUGGGAAAACAUUUUAUGGACUGCUCUGAAAUAAAUUACGAUUAUCAGCCAGAAUUAAUAAAUUACUUGGCUUAUUAUGAGCCAAACUUGGAAACCAUACAGGAAGAAUCUGACAGUGAAUUAUCAGAUUACAUGAAGGAAAAUUGUUUAAAUGACAAUCAAGAAGUAGGGUCCCAGGAAUAUACUAAAACCGAAACAAAGCUAUCAAUAGAUGUAUUAAAUGGAAAUGCCACAGAGAUUCUAGACAAUACCAGUAAAGUUCUGAGUGAAAGUACAACUGUUUCAUCAAGUGAUAUAGGAAAUGGAAUUAGUAUAGAUGAGCAUUUUCCAAAAAUUAUUACAACCAUUUGCUCAGAAAAGAUUGCUAAAGUGUUUCCACUUAACUCAGGAAAAGAAACACUUGACUUUGAAAAAGGUGUCACACUAGAAUCUGAAAACAUAUUGACACUUGAUUCUAAAAAAGUGCUAGUAUUUGAUUCUAAAAAAGGGUCAAUAUUUAACUAUGAAAAAGAUCCGACACUUACCACUGGAAAAGAAUUUGUAUUUGACUCUGACAAAGAGUCAACAGUUAAAUCUGUGGAAGAGUUCAAACUUAGAUCUAAAACAGGAUUGACACUUGAAUCUGAAAAAGGUUUUAUACAUGGCUCUGAAAAACACCAAGAAAACCAAGAUACAUUAAGCAGUAAUUUGGAUUUGAAGAGUUUUGAUGAAACCAUGUGUAUUAAUAUACCCAGUUAUUUCCCAGAUGAUGAGAUCAACAAUUGUAUGAAAACAAUGUUAAUGGGUUUAUCAAAGGAUUUAGUAAACAGGAGACAAGAGUGGCCUGACGAGCCAACAGUUCAAGGUCAGGAUUCUGAGCAUACUGGUGUUUAUAACACUGAAUGUAAUCAAACAAACUUUCUUACAUUUACUAAGGAGAUAAUACUGACUUCCACUGAAAUUGUAGAUGGGGUCCCAAAUGAGGACAUGCUAGAUGGAAACGAGAUUGACAACUAUUCAGAAAACUCUGAAAUCCAACUUGACUUCCAACGCACGUCAAACAGUACAGUUUUAAUGGAGUCCACUUCGUUUGGUUCAGACAAUGUUGAGAACUAUAUCUGGUGUGACACGUUAGCUCAGUUCAGAUGUAUUGACAAUGAGUGUUUUGCACACAGCGUGUGGCUGACUUACAGUGGGAACUUACAUUAGAAUUCAAAACUGAAGAAAUAAAUCAAUUCAAAUUUGAUGUUUAGUCAUUAGCACUUUUACAAAAAAUCUAAAAGUCAAACUAAGAUUGGAUUGUUACAAAUUCUAUAAAACAUUUUGUACAAAUUAUAAAUAUUAUCCUCAAUUAUUUACAUGGAACAAACAUCCAGUAUUUCUUCAUUAAAACAUAGAAGGUCCACGUUGACAUCAGCAAGACGCGAUCGACCAAAAAGAGAAAAACAACUUUAUGUAUGUCGAGUUAGUAUCUGUGUAAAUGCUAAGCAAUAACCUGUCUUUAAUUUAAUCAGUUUUCUUAUCAUCAGUGUAAACUUUUUGUUUUCAUCCUAACAUAACAUAAACCGAACAAAGCCACUAUGGAUUCAAUUUUAAUAUACAGUGUCUGUAACAUA